GCGCCCGUAGCUCAGUUGGAUAGAGUGUUGGCCUCCGAAGCCAGAAGUCGUGAGUUCGAAUCUCGCCGGGCGCGCCAAAUAUAU
rnacentral:tRNA from 1 species